UACGGAGGGUGCAAGCGUUGUUCGGAAUUAUUGGGCGUAAAGCGCGUGUAGGCGGUUGAGUAAGUCAGAUGUGAAAGCCUUCCGCUUAACGGAAGAAGUGCAUUUGAAACUGCUCAGCUAGAGUACGGGAGAGGAGAGUGGAAUUCCCGGUGUAGAGGUGAAAUUCGUAGAUAUCGGGAGGAACACUCAUGGCGAAGGCAUCUUCCUAAGCCAGUACUGACACUGAGGCGCGAAAGCGUGGGGAGCAAACAGGAUUAGAUACCCCUGUAGUCC
rnacentral:rRNA from 1 species